rnacentral:rRNA from 1 species
AAUGAACGCUGGCGGCAGGCCUAACACAUGCAAGUCGAACGGAGCCUUCGGGAUUAGUGGCGGACGGGUGAGUAACGCGUGGGAACAUACCCAAAGGUACGGAAUAGCCUCGGGAAACUGGGAGUAAUACCGUAUGUGCUCGAAAGAGGAAAGAUUUAUCGCCUUUGGAUUGGCCCGCGUUGGAUUAGGUAGUUGGUGGGGUAAUGGCCUACCAAGCCGACGAUCCAUAGCUGGUUUGAGAGGAUUAUCAGCCACACUGGGACUGAGACACGGCCCAGACUCCUACGGGAGGCAGCAGUGGGGAAUCUUAGACAAUGGGGGAAACCCUGAUCUAGCCAUGCCGCGUGAUCGAUGAAGGCCUUAGGGUUGUAAAGAUCUUUCAGGUGGGAAGAUAAUGACUGUACCACCAGAAGAAGCCCCGGCUAACUCCGUGCCAGCCGCCGCGGUAA